rnacentral:antisense_RNA from 1 species
UGUUAUGGCGGCUGUGCGCAGGGCACCUCGUGUGCGCUGGGUUCCUGGAAUCCCGGUCUACUAACCUGCGUCACAGCCGCCACCUUU